UGGCCAUCCAAGGGGAGUCCUGGUUGGACUGAGAUUUGCCAAAACUGGCAAGAACCCUUCGAACCUGAUCCGGGUCAUGCCGGCGAAGGGAUCGGAUGUCCUCCGCCCC
rnacentral:ncRNA from 1 species